rnacentral:rRNA from 1 species
AGGACGAACGCUGGCGGCGUGCUUAACACAUGCAAGUCGAGCGGAAAGGCCCUUCGGGGUACUCGAGCGGCGAACGGGUGAGUAACACGUGAGCAACCUGCCCUUAGCUCUGGGAUAGCUCCGGGAAAACCGGAAUUAAUACCGGAUACGACCUAGGCCGACAUCGGCCAUGGGUGGAAAGUUUUUCGGCUAGGGAUGGACUCGCGGCCUAUCAGCUAGUUGGUGGGGUAAAGCCUACAAGGCGACGACGAGUA